AGUGAACGCUGGCGGUAGGCCUAACACAUGCAAGUCGAACGGCAGCACAGUAAGAGCUUGCUCUUACGGGUGGCGAGUGGCGGACGGGUGAGGAAUACAUCGGAAUCUACUUUUUCGUGGGGGAUAACGUAGGGAAACUUACGCUAAUACCGCAUACGACCUACGGGUGAAAGCAGGGGAUCUUCGGACCUUGCGCGAUUGAAUGAGCCGAUGUCGGAUUAGCUAGUUGGCGGGGUAAAGGCCCACCAAGGCGACGAACCGUAGCUGGUCUGAGAGGAUGAUCAGCCACACUGGAACUUAGACACGGUCCAGGCUCCUGAGGGAGGCAGCAGUGGGGAAUAUUGGACAAUGGGCGCAAGCCUUAUCCAGCCAUACCGCGUGGGUGAAAGAGGCCUUCGGGUUGUAAAGCCCUUUUGUUGGGAAAGAAAAGCAUCAGGUUAAUACCCCGCUGUUCUGACGGUACCCAAAGAAUAAGCACCGGCUAACUUCGUG
rnacentral:rRNA from 1 species